GUUAGGAAUAUUGGACAAUGGGCGCAAGCCUGAUCCAGCCAUGCCGCGUGAGUGAUGAAGGCCUUCGGGUUGUAAAGCUCUUUAGCCGAUGAUUAUAAUGACUGUAGUCGGAAAAUAAGCCCCGGCUAACUUCGUGCCAGCAGCCGCGGUAAUACGAAGGGGGCGAGCGUUAUUCGGAAUCACUGGGCGUAAAGCGUGCGUAGGCGGCUUUGCAAGUUGGGAGUGAAAGCCCAGGGCUCAACCCUGGAAUUGCUCUCAAAACUGCAAGGCUCGAAUUCGAGAGAGGAUAGCGGAAUUGUCAGUGUAGCAGUGAAAUGCGUAGAUAUUGACAGGAACACCAGUGGCGUAAGCGGCUAUCUGGACCGAUAUUGACGCUGAGGCACGAAAGCGUGGGGAUCAAACAGGAUUAGAAACCCUGUAGUCC
rnacentral:rRNA from 1 species